rnacentral:tRNA from 1 species
CCUGGUGGCUCAGAUGGUAAAGAAUCUGCCUACAAUGCAGAAGACCCAGGUUCGAUUCCUGGGUCAGGA